rnacentral:rRNA from 1 species
AACGAACGCUGGCGGCAGGCCUAACACAUGCAAGUCGAGCGAGGACUCCGGUUCUAGCGGCGGACGGGGGAGUAACGCGUGGGAAUGUGCCCUUCUCUACGGAAUAGUCCUGGGAAACUGGGGGUAAUAUCGUAUACGCUAUAUUGGGGAAAGAUUGAUCGGAGUAGGGUAAGCCCGCGUUGGAUUAGGUGGUUGGUGGGGUAAUGGCCUACCAAGCCGACGAUCCAUAGCGGGUUUGAGAGGCUGGGCAGCCACACUGAGACUGGGACACGGCCCAGACUCCUAGGGGAUGCAGCAAUGGGUGAUCUUAGACAACCGCGGCAACCCUGAACUAGCCAUGCCGCGUGAGUGAUGAAGGCCUUAGAGUUGUAAAGCUCUUUCAGCUGGGAAGAUAAUGACGGUACCAGCAGAAGAAGCCCCGGCUAACUCCGUG